UACGUAGGCAGCAAGCGUUGUUCGGAGUUACUGGGCGUAAAGGGUGUGUAGGCGGUUGGAUAAGUGUGGUGUGAAAAUCUCCCGGCUUAACUGGGAGGGUGCGCUACAAACUGUCUGACUAGAGUGUGGGAUGGGUAAGUGGAAUUCCUGGUGUAGCGGUGAAAUGCGCAGAUAUCAGGAGGAACACCGGUGGCGAAGGCGGGGUCUCUGGGGCAGUUUACUGACGCUGAGGAGCGAAAGCAUGGGGGAGCGAACAGG
rnacentral:rRNA from 1 species